AGAAUAUCUAUGAUGGAGAACCCACGUAUGGGUUCUGCUUCUGUGUUGAACCAGGUGGAAUUUGAGGAAAAAUAUCUUGCCAAAUGAGAGGAGCUCAGGAAGAUGCAGCUUCAAUGAGGGAAAAUAUCUCAUCAAAUUGCUGUCAGUUGUGAGUUGUAACGCGCCCUUUGAUUUCUUAUUUAUGGGAAAGGCGUGUUUGGUAAUUGCAGUGAGUUGGCA
rnacentral:lncRNA from 1 species